rnacentral:rRNA from 1 species
UACGUAGGGUGCGAGCGUUGUCCGGAAUUAUUGGGCGUAAAGAGCUCGUAGGCGGUCUGUCGCGUCGGUCGUGAAAACUUGGGGCUUAACCCUGAGCUUGCGGUCGAUACGGGCAUGACUGGAGUUCGGCAGGGGAGACUGGAAUUCCUGGUGUAGCGGUGAAAUGCGCAGUUAUCAGGAGGAACACCGGUGGCGAAGGCGGGUCUCUGGGCCGAUACUGACGCUGAGGAGCGAAAGCGUGGGGAGCGAACAGG